GGCGGCGUGGCCUAGUGGUUAGGGCGCUGGAUUUGUAAUCCAGUGGUCACGGGUUCAAAUCCUCCGUUUCUGCUC